rnacentral:rRNA from 1 species
CCCUUAGAUGUUCUGGGCCGCACGCGCGCUACACUGACGGAGGCAGCGAGCGUGUCCUUCGCCGGCGGGUGCGGGCAAUCUUGCGAGUCUCCGUCGUGCUGGGGAUAGAUGGUUGCAAUUGUCGAUCUUGAACGAGGAAUUCCUAGUAAGCGCGAGUCAUCAGCUCGCGCUGAUUACGUCCCUGCCCUUUGUACACACCGCCCGUCGCUACUACAGAGUGCCCGUGUCCAAGAAACGGUCGGACCUGUGCGGCCUCUCCGGGCGACCGGAGGGCCGUUACGGGGAAGACCCUUUAUUUGACGCGGGUCGAUGAAGUAAAAGUCGUAACA